rnacentral:rRNA from 1 species
UCCGGUCGAUCCUGCCGGAGCGCGACGCUCUCCCCAAGGACGAAGCCAUGCAUGCCCGCUCACCCGGGACGCGGCGGACGGCUCAGGACAACGGUUGCACCCCCCGCGGCGGUCCCUGCUAGCCGGACACCGCUGGCAACCCGGCGCCAAGACGUGCGCGCAAGGGCGGGCGCCCGCGGGCGAGCAGCGUGACGCAGCGACGGCCCGCCCGGGCUUCCGGGGCAUCACCCGGUCGGCGCGGUCGCGGCGCGCCGAGGGCCCGACGCCUGGCGGAGAAUCAGGGUUCGACUCCGGAGAGCGGGCCUGCGAGACGGCCCGCACAUCCAAGGACGGCAGCAGGCGCGGAACUUGCCCAAUGCGCGGCGCGCGAGGCAGCGACGGGGAGCGCGCGAGCGAGGCGGGCCCACAGCCCCCGCCGCGGAGCCGAGGGCAAGGUCUGGUGCCAGCAGCCGCGGUAAUUCCAGCUCGGCGAGCGUCGCGCGGCGCUGCUGCAGUUGAAACGCCCGUAGUUGGCCCCCCGCCGCCACGAGGAAACGGGAGCGCUCCAGGCAGGCCCGUUGGACCCGCCGCGUGGGACCGCGCAGCGGGCGCGGCGCGCCGCGGCAGCCCCGAGGAGAGCGGGCGGGGGCACCGGUACCGGCCGGGGACGGGUGAAACAGGAUGAUCCCGCCGAGACCGCCGGCCGCGCAGGCGCCUGCCAAGACCGCCUCUGUCAAUCAAGGGCGAAGGCCGGGGGCUAGAAGGCGAUCAGACACCACCGUAUUCCCGGCCGUAAACGGUGCCGCCCCGCGGCCGGCGCGCGCGUCCCGCCGGCCGCCCAGGGAAACCGGGAGGCUCCGGGCUCUGGGGGGAGUAUGGCCGCAAGGCUGAAACUUGAAGGCAUUGACGGAGGGGUACCACCAGACGUGGAGUCUGCGGCUCAAUCUGACUCAACGCGCGCACCUCACCAGGCCCGGACGCGCGGAGGACCGACAGCCGGGCGCGCUUUCGCGAUCGCGCGGGCGGUGGUGCAUGGCCGCUCCCAGCCCGUGGCGCGAGCCGUCUGCUCCAUUGCGACAACGAGCGAGACCCCGGCCGCGGGCGCCGCGGGACGGCCCGCGCGAGCGGGAGGACGGCGGGGCGAUAGCAGAGUAGGGUAGGGUAGGGUAGGGUAGGGU